UUUUCUGCGCAUGCGCAGUAGCUGCAAAGAGAAGCAAGAUGUCCCGCUCUGAUAGCAAUGACUGCAAAGUGUAUGUUGGUAAUCUUCCCGGGGACAUAAGGAAGAGAGACCUGGAGGACAUCUUCUACAAAUAUGGCAAACUCGUUGAUGUUGACCUCCACGAUAGGAGGGAGACCCCAUUCGCCUUCAUAGAGUUUGAGGAUCCCAGAGAUGCAGAUGAUGCCAUUAGAGGUCGGGAUGGGUACAUGUUUGACGGGUACAAGCUACGGGUCGAGUUACCUCGCUCGUCACCUCGUUACGUUGGUGGGCGUGGUGGUGGGGGAAGGGGCUACUAUGGCGGAGGGAGGCGUGACGGGUAUGGGCGUGGUGGGGGACGCCAGUCAGGACACAAACUAAUGAUCACUGGACUACCGCCCACGGGAUCUUGGCAAGAUAUCAAGGAUCACUUCAGACAGGCUGGUGACGUCAUAUAUGCUAACGUUGAGAGAGACGGAACCGGAGUCGUUGAAUUUGCAAGAUAUGAACAUGCAAAGAGAGCAGUGAGAGACCUUGAUGACAGCAAAUUCCGCUCUCACGAAGGUGAGUCGGCUUAUAUAAGAGUAUCGGAGCCGUCCUCUGGUGGGUCUCCUUACAGACGCAACAGUCGUUCCCCCAGCCCGUCCCCUCGUCACUCACCACGGUACCACGACUCACCGAGACACCGUGACGGGUCUCCCAGACGCAGCCGCAGUCCAAGAUACAGGCGCUCUAGGAGCCGCUCUAAUUAAAGCACAAGUUAUUGUCAUGGAAAUGGAUUAAUUACUUUCAUAAAAUGGCCACACCCCCUUUUGAAAAAUUAAUGGAUGUGGCACAUAGUGUCUGUCUGCUAAGCAUAUCAGAUCAGGAAUCAAAAUCAUGUUAAGAGAUCAAUUAGGAUCAAUGUGGCAUUAGGAAUUGGGAUCCAAUGUCAUGUUAAGGGAUCAGAUCAGGAAUCAAUCCAUGUGUUAGGAUCAAUGUGGCAUUGGGAAUUGGGAAUCAAUUUCACAUUAAGGGAUCAAAUGGUGUUAAAACGUGACGAGGAUACCACACACAUGAAGUUAAUUCUGUUAAGAAAAGAGGAAAGAGACUCUCUGUAUUAUUAAUAAUAAUAAUAAUAAUAGUUGAUGUUAUUUUGAUUUGAAUAAAGAGAUCAAAUUGAAACACA